rnacentral:rRNA from 1 species
UACGAAUGGGGCAAGCGUUGUUCGGAAUCACUGGGCUUAAAGCGUGCGUAGGCGGAUUUGCAAGUCAGAAGUGAAAUCCCAGGGCUUAACUCGAAGUCUGCACGGGAAACUGCGGGGCUUGAGUGUGGGAGAGGUGAGUGGAAUUCCCGGUGUAGCGGUGAAAUGCGCAGAUAUCAGGAAGAACACCCGUGGCGAAGGCGGCUCUCUGGAACGCAACUGACGCUGAGACGCGAAAAGCGUGGGGAGCAAACAGG